GAUGAACGCUGGCGGCGUGCCUAAUACAUGCAAGUCGAGCGAACAGACGAGGAGCUUGCUCCUCUGACGUUAGCGGCGGACGGGUGAGUAACACGUGGAUAACCUACCUAUAAGGCUGGGAUAACUUCGGGAAACCGGAGCUAAUACCGGAUAAUAUAUUGAACCGCAUGGUACAAUAGUGAAAGACGGUUUUGCUGUCACUUAUAGAUGGAUCCGCGCCGCAUUAGCUAGUUGGUAAGGUAACGGCUUACCAAGGCAACGAUGCGUAGCCGACCUGAGAGGGUGAUCGGCCACACUGGAACUGAGACACGGUCCAGACUCCUACGGGAGGCAGCAGUAGGGAAUCUUCCGCAAUGGGCGAAAGCCUGACGGAGCAACGCCGCGUGAGUGAUGAAGGUCUUCGGAUCGUAAAACUCUGUUAUUAGGGAAGAACAAAUGUGUAAGUAACUAUGCACGUCUUGACGGUACCUAAUCAGAAAGCCACGGCUAACUACGUG
rnacentral:rRNA from 1 species